rnacentral:rRNA from 1 species
AUUGAACGCUGGCGGCAUGCCUUACACAUGCAAGUCGAACGGCAGCGGGGGAGAAGCUUGCUUUUCCUGCCGGCGAGUGGCGAACGGGUGAGUAAUACAUCGGAACGUGCCCUGUAGUGGGGGAUAACUAGUCGAAAGAUUAACUAAUACCGCAUACGACCUGAGGGUGAAAGUGGGGGACCGCAAGGCCUCAUGCUAUAGGAGCGGCCGAUGUCUGAUUAGCUAGUUGGUGGGGUAAAGGCCUACCAAGGCGACGAUCAGUAGCUGGUCUGAGAGGACGAUCAGCCUCACUGGGACUGAGACACGGCCCAGACUCCUACGGGAGGCAGCAGUGGGGAAUUUUGGACAAUGGGCGAAAGCCUGAUCCAACAAUGCCGCGUGUGUGAAGAAGGCCUUCGGGUUGUAAAGCACUUUUGUCCGGAAAGAAAUGGCUCUGGUUAAUACCUGGGGUCGAUGACGGUACCGGAAGAAUAAGGACCGGCUAACUACGUGCCAGCAGCCGCCGUAA